rnacentral:lncRNA from 1 species
UGAUUUAUGUAGUUCAUUGGAACAGGAAGAAAUGGAUUUAUCUGUGGAUCAUGUUGAGGAAGUACAAAAUGUCCUUAAUGCUAUGCAGAAAAUCUUAGAGUGUCCAAUAUGUCUGGAGUUGAUCAGAGAGCCUGUCUCUACAAAGUGUGACCACAUAUUUUGCAAAUUUUGUAUGCUGAAACUUCUCAACCAGAAGAAAGGGCCUUCACAAUGUCCUUUGUGUAAGAAUGAUAUAACCAAAAGAAGCCUACAAGAAAGUACAAGAUUUAGUCAACUUGUUGAAGAGCUGUUGAAGAUCAUUCAUGCUUUUGAGCUUGACACAGGAUUGCAGUUUGCAAACAGCUAUAACUUUUCGAGAAAGGAAAAUAAGUCUCCUGAGCAUCUGAAGGAGGAAGUUUCUAUCAUCCAAAGUAUGGGCUACCGGAACCGGGCCAAAAGACUUUGGCAGAGUGAACCUGAAAAUCCUACCUUGCAGGAAACUGGUCUUACUGUCGAACUCUCUAACCUUGGAAUUGUGAGAUCUCUGAGGACAAAGCAGCAGAUACAAUCUCAGAAUAAGUCCGUCUACAUUGAAUUGGGAUCUGAUUCUUCUGAAGACACAGUUAAUAAGGCCAGUUACUUCAGUGUGGGAGAACAUGAAUUGUUAGAGAUCACCCCUCAAGGAGCCAAGGCAGAGACCAAUUUGAAUCCUGCAAAAAAGGCUGCUUGUGAGUUUUCUGAGAAGGACAUAACAAAUACUGAACAUCAUCAGUUCAGUAUUAAAGAUCUGAUCACCACCCAUAAGCAUGCAACUGAGACGCAUCCAGAAAACUAUCAGGGUGAAGCAGCAUCCAACCAUGUGAGUGAAACAAGCCUCUCUGAAGACUCUGUGGGGCUGUCUUCUCAGAGUGAUAUCUUAACCACUCAGCAGAGGGAUACCAUGCAAGAUAACCUACUAAAGCUCCAGCAGGAAAUGGCCGAGCUGGAAGCUGUGUUAGAGCGGCACGGGAGCCAGCCUUCCCACAGCUCUGCUUCCCUCACAGCUGAUUCUCGUGGCCCAGAGCACCUGCUAAAUCCAGAGCAAAACACAUCAGAAAGAGUAUUAACUUCAGAGAAAAGUAGAGACUAUUCUAGAAGCCAGAAUCCUGAAAGCCUCUCUGCUGACAAGUUUCCAGUAUCUCUGGAUAGUUCUACCAAUAAAAAUAAAGAACCAGGAAUGGAAGGGUCUUCCCCUUCUAAAUUCCAGUUGUCGGAUAAUAGGUGGUAUGUGCACAGCCACUCAAGGAGUCUUCAGGACAGAAACUGCCCAUCUCAAAAGGUGCCCAUUAAUGUUGCUGACAUGGAGGAGCAACAGCUGGCUAAGUAUGAGGCCCAAGAUUUAAUGGGGUCUUAUUUGCCAAGACAAGAUCAAGAAGGAACCCCUUACCUGAAAUCUGGAAUCAGCCUCUUCUCUCAUGACCUCGAGUCUGAUCCCUCUGAAGACAGAGCCCCAGAGCCAGCUCAUGUUCACUGCAUGCCACCCUCUGCCUCUGCCUCUGCACCGAAAUUAUCCCAAUUUCGAGUAGAAGAAUCUACCAAGAAUCCAGCUGCUGCUCACAUUACUAAUACUACAGGGUGUAACCUGAGGGAAGAAAGUGUGAGCAAAGAGAAGCCAGAAGUGAUAUCUUCAACAGAAAGAAGCAACAAAAGACUUUCUAUGGUGGCAUCAGGCUUGACCCCAAAAGAACUCAUGCUUGUGCAGAAAUUUGCCAGAAAACAUCACAUCACUUUAACUAAUCUAAUUACUGAAGAGACUACUCAUGUCAUUAUGAAAACAGAUCCUGAGUUUGUGUGUGAACGGACACUGAAAUAUUUUCUGGGAAUUGCAGGAGGAAAAUGGGUAGUUAGCUAUUUUUGGGUCACCCAGUCUAUUAAAGAAAGAAAGAUGCUGGAUGAGCAUGAUUUUGAAGUCAGAGGAGAUGUUGUCAAUGGAAGAAACCAUCAAGGCCCAAAGCGAGCAAGAGAAUCCCAAGACAAGAAGAUCUUCAAAGGCCUAGAGAUCUGUUGCUAUGGACCUUUUACCAAUAUGCCCACAGGGUACUCACCCAGUUGUGGUCGUGCAGCCGGAUGCCUGGACAGAGGAUGCUGGCUUCCGUGUGAUCGGGCAGAUGUGUGA